rnacentral:SRP_RNA from 1 species
GCCGGGUGCAGUGGCGCCUGCCUGUAGUCCCAGCUACUCGGGAGGCUGAGGUGGGAGGACUGCUUGAGCCCAGGAGUUCUGGGCUGUAGUGCGCUAUGGCAAUCUGGUGUCCGCACUAAGUUCGGCAUCAAUAUGGUGAUCUCCCGGGAGCAGGGGGCCACCAGGUUGCCUAAGGAAGUGUGAACCGGCCCAGGUAGGAACCGGAGCAGGUAAAAACUCCCGUGCUGAUGUAGUGGGAUUGCGCCUGUGAAUACCACUGCACUCCAGCCUGGGCAACAUAGCGAGACCCGUCUCUU